rnacentral:rRNA from 1 species
GAUUUCUGGCUUGAAACAUUUUGCCGGCCACGGUUUCGUGUGUUAGUGCUUGAUGUUCUGGCCAUCCUUCCAAUUGCUAUUCACUUCUCUUCAUUGAUUGGUGAGUGGUAUUGGAUCUUUUACUUUGAAAAAAUUAGAGUGUUUCAAGCAGGCUAUUAAGCUAUGAAUACAUUAGCAUGGAAUAAUACGAUAGGACUUUGGUCUUAUUUUGUUGGUUUUGCGAGACUGAAGUAAUGAUUGAUAGGGAUAGUUGGGGGUGCUAGUAUUCAGCGGCCAGAGGUGAAAUUCUUGGAUUCGCUGAAGACUAACUUAUGCGAAAGCAUU